rnacentral:lncRNA from 1 species
GAAAGAAACAAAAUGAAGUGGUAAUGCCUGCUGAGAGCAAAGCAUGACCCCAGCACCUGAAGAGAAUGGACAGAUGAGAUGCAGAUGAAUGAAAAGCACUUCUCCACAGCCUGGACUUUAAAUGCCCUUAGGCUACUCCAUUGCAAGCAUGAAAUGAAACAGAAAAGCCCAAGGUGUUACAAGCAGAAUAUCGUUUCAUAGUGCUAUGCAGGAAACAUUCUGGCAUGUGUAGCUCUGCACAGUGGGCAGACUCUUCUUCAUUUAAACUCCCAUCAGAAAGUUGAACUACCAGCCUUCACCAAGCUUUGAGUAGAUGCAACUGAUUUUUGUAUAUUGAUCUUGUAUCCUGCAACCUUGCAAAAGUCAUCUGUUAGUGCUAACAGUUUUGUGUGUGGAUUCCUUUUUUUUUUUUUUUUUUUUUUUUUUUUUUAAGACAGAGUCUUGCUCUUGUCACCCAGGCUGGAGUGCAAUGGCAUGAUCUUCGCUUACUGCAACCUCAGCCUCCCAAGUAGCUGGGAUUACAGGCACCCACCACCACACCCAGCUAAUUUUUGUAUUUUUUUAGCAGAGACGGGUUUUCACCAUGUUGGCCAGGCUGGUCUUGAACUCCUGACCUCAUGAUCCACCCACCUUGGCCCCCCCAGUGUGUGUGGAUUCUUUCGGGUUCUCUGUAUAUACUAUCAUGUCCUCUGCAAAUAGAAAGUUUUCUUUCUUCCUUUCUAGUCUGGAUGCCUUUAUUUCUUUUUCUUACCCUGGCUAAAACCUUCAGUACAAUGUUGAUUAGAAAUGGCAAAAAGAGAUAUCCUUGUAUUGUUCCUAUUCUUAGAGGAAAAGCUUUUAUACUUUCACUGUUAUUAGCCAUAAAUUUUUUAUAUGUGACCUUCAUCAUACUGAGAAAGUUCCAUUCUAUUCCUAGUUUGUUGAGUGUCUUUUAUAAUGAAAAAUGUUAAAUUUCAUCAAAUAUGUUUUUCUGCACCUAUUGAGAUGAUCUUUUAUUCUAUUAAUAUGGUGCAUUACAUUGAUUGACUUUUGUACAUUGAACCAACCUUGCAUUCCUGGGAUAAAUCUCAUUUGGUCCUGUAUAAACCUUCUUAAUGUGUGUAAUACUUCUUAUAUGCUGCUGGAUUCAGUUUAGUGUAUUUUAUUAAAGACUUUUGC